rnacentral:pre_miRNA from 1 species
ACUUAUGAAUGAGCAAAGAAAGUGGUUUCUUGAGAUAGAAUCUAUUUCUGUGAUAAUGUUGUGAA